CUCAUCUCCUGCCCUUUCUCAGCUCCCCUGAGCACCUCCAUCCUUUGCACCAUCCUCACAGAAUUCCCACUCCUGUCCCAGAGGACGUAUUCUGUAAUCACAUCAGCUUCAAAGAAUGUUAAGGGAAAACUGAAAAGCUUUCUAAUAAUGAAUAAACCUAGGGGGAUUACGUGCCCUGACCCAUCUAGAAAUGAUACGUGAGCAGACUGAAAAUGCAAACUAAUACAUUAAAGAGAGAGACUGGGAGAGGAUUUAUCAGCCCAGCUCUGUGUCCUGCCCUUGUCUGUGCCUGGCAGAGAUGUUUCAGAUCGAAGUGGAAGAAACCCCAUGAAAAAUUCCUAUUGUUUGUAUUGGCCCUGCUAUGGGAGGAUCCCUUUUACCUCGGCUCGUGGUGAUGCCCAGCACCCCUUAGCAUCUUGGCUUCUGUCUCUUAUCAUGUCAGUUUGUAUCUAACCUAAUUUGGGGGUGGAGAGCCUCCUUAAAGCCAUGUGUUUUUAUGAUUAUAGCAAUUCCCCCAUCAACUCUCUCCUUACUUUUUUUCUCAUGCCCCUCCUAUCUCACCCUCCCAAGUGUAAAAACCCCUUUGUGCCUUUCACAACCAGCUUUGGGCAGACAUUAAUCCUGUCUGUCUGUCCCAAGGGGAAGUGGCUAGCACCAAAAUUAGAGCCCAGCUCUAUUCCGUGAGGGUAUUUUUGCAUAGAUCUUCUGUGGUUUCUCAUCUCCGUGACCGACACAACCAGCUCAGAGCGCUGAGCCAGCAUUUCCUCAUCUGCCCAGCACAGCCUCGGGGUCUUGCUGUAUUUUUCUAAUUCAAAACCCACCAAAGUGCACGAAAAUCUCAAGCUACACCCUCUCACACACAUUGCUUUUCACUGCUCAGAGUUUCAAUUAACCUGUCGGCGGGCUUUUCAUUAGCGUGCCUUCGUUAAGUCCCCAUGCAGCCUCCCUGGCCUCAGCCAGCAGAUAUUACUCUCUGCUCUCUGUAAAAAUUUUCCACUUGACUGUUUGCCCUUUCCCCUGCAUCGUUAACAAAAGAUUUCAUCCUAAAAUGGACUCUCAGGGAUGUCCUAUUAUUAUAUUAUUUAUAUGUCGAGAAUGAACUCUUGAUUCCAUUUCUUCUUUUCUCCAUCUUAAUAAGCUUUUAAUACAGUGCGGAAGCCAGACAAUCCCCCCUUGGCAAUUGAGUUUUCUUAAAAGCCUCUUUGAUGGUCUUUAUCAAAAAGCACUCAGGAAAAUGUAUUAACUGCUCUCCAUUAUCCACUAUUUUGUUGACUUAUCAUAAGAUGAAUACUUUUGCCCUGUAUAUUAGGAGCAUGCAGAUGGUUUUUAACUCUGCCUUUAGUAAUUAUUUCAAUUUGCUUGCUGCAUACCACAUCAGUUCCAGUUCCUGAAUGGAUCCUUGCAAACAUGUUCAGUUGUAUUUGCUGAAAAAAUGCAGGUGAUAAUUAAAACUAGUUGCAAAUACAUCAAAAAUACAGGAAAUAACACUGAAAAAAUACUUUUUCUGACAUGUGAAAAUGUAUUUCCUUCUGCAGCUUUAAAUGAAAUACUGUUAUUCUCUUCUCAAACAAUAUAUCCAGAUUAAGCGUAAUUUUAACCUGAUUCCCACAUUGCGUUAAUGUGUUUCUAGGGAAAAUUUCUUUCCAAUGGCAACCAGUUCAAGCCAGAGAGGGAGAGAUGUCUCUUUUCAGUCUGAUCUUCUUCUGUGAUGAAACCAAAUGACACCAUUUGGGGCUUUCCCAUAGAUAUUGAUCUUCUCCUCAAAAAGCACAAAAAUGUCUGGUUGUACCCUCCUACAGCUUUUUAGGGAUAAAACCAUUGGCUGUUCUCCAGGGCUCUCUUGUAAGAAGGGGUUUUGGUCCUAAUGUACUGAGGGGUCCUAAGGGGACUGGGUCCACCUGCUCAGAGAUCUGCCUUAUCCCAGGGAUGGCAUCCAGUAGUCCACUGCCUUGUCCCUGUUCCUAUAGGAUGCUUCUGAAAAAAGCAUCCUUCCCUUCAAAAAUGGCCAGUUCCAGCUAGUGCAAGGGCAUCUCUUCAAAUGAAAUAAUAAGAAGGGAUUGAGCUGGUGGUCCUAUUCCUUGGUUAAGAUAGGGUCUCAUCUUAAUAACUACUGCAAAAUUGUAUGAAGUGCUCUAGAGGGAUGCAUCAAAUUACCUAUCAGAGGCAUUUCAAGACAAAUCAGGUAAAACCAGGCUGGGAUCACAAUGCACAUCCAAGGGAAAUUCACUGGACAUCAUUUUUCAUGUGAUGGGUGCUCUUCCUCUUUCCUUGUACCCCUCCAAGGGAUGUGCUUUUUUGAAGGGAAGUCAUCAAAGUUGUCAUAGUGAAGCAGAGAGCCAGACCCAUAUCUUUUCCUUUUCUCCAGGUCCUGUCGUGCGAGGCCAACUCUCCAGGCAACUCUCCAGGCACUUCAGCCUCCCAGGUAGCUCUUGGCUCAGUCUGCCUGUUCCCCAGCCUUCAGAAACAGAGCAGAGCCCUAAAAAACACAUGUCUUCUUCUGAGCCCAUCCUGGACCUCAAGACAGACACAACAGAAGUACUUCCAGCCUGCAGUGACCCUGAGGAGCCCAGACCAGACCCAGGGAUGAGGCAGGACCCCGCCAGCUCCCUGUGUGUGUGCGAUGCUGCAGCCUCCAGCACCAGCAGUCACAGCGAGCCCAGUCCUGCUCCAUCCACAGGAGAGAGCAUCUCGGGCAGAGACACCAAGUCAGAGCAGGGGAACCCCAGCCCUGCAGACUCCAUGCCAUGUCCAGAAGCCCCUGAAGAGUGCCCGGCUCGCCCCAACACCCUGGACUUGUCCAAGUCGCUGAAGAAGCUGGAGGAAGUGAAGCAGAUGGGGCAGAGGCGUAACAGUGACCACACGGCGGUGAAGGAGAACGGGGUUGGGAGCAGCCCUGCGGCCGCAGCGGUGAGCGAGGAGAGGAAGGCGCUGGAGUCCGAGCUGGGGAAGUGCAUCGAGGACUUCCGAAAGAUCAAGAUCCCUCAUGCCUUUCCCAAUAAGAAACGGCAGUGGCAAAGCGAGCUGCUGAGGAAAUAUCAGUUGUGAGGGGUGCGGUGAGGCUCUCUGGGGGUAACCCCAGCCGUUGGGUGGCACAGGGCAUCAGCACACCUGGGGUGAGGAGUAUAGGCUGCUCCUUCAACAAGUGUUGCAAGCCGAAAACUAGGGCAGCAUGCUCCUUACCAUGGCAGAAGGGAUGCAUGCUGUCCCAGACAUUAUGAACAUGGGUGAAGGGACAUAACAAAGGCAAGGGGGCCCAGGGAGAAUCACCAGGGGAAAAGCUACUGUCCAGCAGGAGCUCUCAUCUUUGUGCGAAUUUUCCUGGUGUUUCAAGUAAUAAAAUAUAGUUGAUGUCAAAAAGGAAUUCAAAUCUCCCCAUCUCUUUGGCGAACAUGUUUAGUUCAUCUGCUCAAAGCUGUACAAGUGGUUUAGAUGUUCCAUUUCCUUUAAAUUAAUGGAAGUUCCGUAUCUGACUCCUUUCUGUUCUUGGCAAAACUUCCCCAUCUGUAAUAUCUGCAACUGGAGAGCUGGGAUUCAACAAAACCUUCUUUUCCUGAGAGGUCAUGAUGUUUUGCAGACAUUUUCCUGUUUUUACACAAAUCCUUGAACACUGCCCAGCCUCACACUUGGAGCUCCAGCCAAAAAUGAGUAAAUGAGAGGGGGAGUGCAUCUCCUGCAGAGCCAUGGUCAGACCAAUCAGAAUCAAGUCCCCAUCAUUCUGGCCAGUUCUUGGCUACUCCUUGUGCUCCUUGUGCUCCAGGUGCUGUUGGAUGGCUGAACUCAACCUCAAAAGGAGAAUGGAAGAAGCUCAGCUAUGUGGGGCUCUUCUGCCAGAUGGGAUUGGAUAAGAGCUUGUGGAUAAGAACAAAGAAGGGGCCAGGCUGGGUGGCUUUCGGUGGGGGAAUGUCACAGCUACCCAGCAGGGAGGAUGAUGGUUGGAAAGCAAGUGGUCCUGGAGAUUUCAGGAGGACUUCAUGGAUGUUCUUGUGAUGGAGGUGCUGGAUUGGCCAAGUGGAUGCACAGCUGGAUCUGCUGCCCACUAACAGAGUAGACACCAGAUGUGGCUGUGGUAGUCAAUGGCACAUUUGGCCCUAGUGAUCAGAAACAGUGAAUUUCAAGAUCCUGAGAGGAGCAGGGAAGAUGAGCAGCAGAACACAGACUCUGGCUGCCCUGAGGUUUCACUGGUCCCCAACAGAAUCCCAAGGUCAGUCUCCCCCUUUCUGGACCCAUAGAAGCUCGGAGAGUCACCUCCCGCCCCAGCUGCAGUCUUCAAACCUCCCACUGAUAAAGGAUAAGGGAGGAACCCCCAGUAGCAAGCACACUGCAGGGCAUGCAGGGCAGCCCUCCCACCCCAGCAAAAGCCACAGAAGAAUUUAAGAAUUUCAGUGUUUUUGUUUAGUCUUGUUUUUUGUUUUUUGAUUUUUUUUUUUUAAUGAAACAAAACCAACUCAAUUAAAAGCUCAAUGAGUGUUUGUUGAGGUUUUGUUGGGCUGAAUUGCUUGACCUUUUGGGGAAUGGACGUGGAGGCUGGAUCCACAUUCUUCUUCCUUUUAUAUACAGACACACGAUGAUAGUGUUUACAGGAACUUGUAGAGACAGAGAGGUACAAACUGUCUUGGGGAAACCACCACGUGCUGGGCUUCAAAGAUUUCUGGGACCUCUAGACUUGCAAGUGGUGAACACGAGCUGAUGGGUGAGCUUCUGGGGAGCUUUGGGUAUUCUUCCUAUGGAUGGAGCAGGGUUUGCCAGCCCCACACCAGUGGAUCCCAGCAGAACUUUUGUGUGUCCUCAAAAGCCACACCCUGGGGCAUAUUUACCCCUAGUUAAGUAUUGGCAGGAAUCAUUCUUCUGGAUAUUGUGCAACCAGGUGGACUAGGGCUUUACAGUUAUGUUUUACAUAACCAGCUCUAUUUUUAACUUAAUCUCCAGUUAAUUAGAAAGUGGACUUUGCUGGAGCUGUAAUUAGAGUUCACAUUUCCGCAUUACUUUCCAUCCCAAAGGUCUCAGGAAGGUGUAUAUAUCCCACUGUGUCUGCCCCAUUCACUUCACUGAAAAAAAACAGAGUUCACUCACAGCAUCCAAAAAUACCAAGAGGUCAGUGAGCACAGUUGCACAUCGUGCUCAUACACAACUACAGCUGAAAUACGUAACAGAAUUAGAAAGCAAAAAUUAGUUAUGCAGGAGUGCCAGAAAAUAAUGAAAACAAAAUGUGUGUAAGGAGACAAUGUAAAGAAACAGUAAAUUAUUAAUAGUGUCAUUACACUGCUGGGUUAAACAAUUAGAUCCAGCAGGCAAUUCCUCUAUAGGAGGCAUCGGCAAUCAACCCAUGAAAGUCCAAUUUGCAUUUUCUCCCCCUUAAUUGUUUUGCAGUUCUCAGCUGGAAGUGUGCACUCCAAACAAAAACGGCUUGGGGCUUUUUAGGGAAAACCUGCAAGCUGUCGGGGAAUUGAAGCUCUACGGUGUUUCACAAUGUUCACUCUGCAUCUCUCUGAGUACAGCAGCUCAGAAAGGCUCAGAAGGGGAAACAGGGAGCUGUGAGAUUGUGCUGAGCUGUGGGCCCAGGGGAAGACACCACUCAGAGGGAUGCCCACCUCCCCCGUAGCCCUGUUAUAUCCCAAUUCUGCCUGGAAACAACCCAUUUCCCAAGGAGUGAAAGAAGAGCUGCAUGGCCCACGGUGGAAAGGAUGCCUGGGAAACAAGAAGGGUCAGAGAUGUUUAUACCCACUGCACACACAGCAUCACAGAGCGUUUGUAAGCAAAGUGACUCACUCCUGUUUCUCCUUCAGUAUUUGUCCCUCUUUAUUCAAGAUGGUUUGGUUUGAGAAAUCCACUUUCAUUUGUCUUCAUGUCAUAGGAAAUUCACAGUUUCUCUGUGCUCUGCUCCACAAGGCAAGAGGACACAAGGCCCAUUUUCUACCAGAUACCACAGUCCUUAAUAUCUGUGGGGGCAACAGUGAGUUUACAUUCAUCAGGGGAAAAGCCCGACUUGCCCUGUUCCCUGGCUGUGGGAAUGGAGCCCUGUUGCAGUGGAGCUGCUGGAAGCACUGAGAUGCCACCAUCCAUGCCGUGACCGUCCCUGCCGGUGGUGGCACAUCAGGAUUGCUGCCAAGAGAACCAAUGAUGCAGCUUCUCCUCUCUAUUUACUUUCCACAAAUGCCUCAGAUCUGCCUGAGCAGCAGGAAGCCAUUCAUUACCCAAUGACAGCAUUCCACAGGCAUCCCUUAAUUGAAUGCCAUUAUCCCUUAAUUAAUUAAAUACCAAUUAAUUACCAGGAACAUUGCAUGACAUGUAACAAAUGCCACCAGCUAGUUGAGACAGAAUAAUUUAAAACCUGGGAAGCGUGGCCCAAAUAAUAAUGAUCAGAAUUGGUCCAGCAAAGAAAACACAAGGAUCUGAGCACAAAGUCCUUCUGGGUGGGUUGGGAUCAGACUGGUGAUGUGGGCAAAGUCCUUCAAACCAGAAUCAGGCUGUGAAACUGGAGGGUUUUGCUGUUCCACCGGGUUUCAUCUGUGGGUUCAUAGGGAUCUCCUACUACUGAUGUUGAUUCAGUAGAAUUGAAUGGGCACACGGUAGUGAAAUAAGUGGUUAGUAGUACCCAGUAGUAAACCUCACAUUAGUUGUGAGGCAUUUGUAGUUAGCAGGAUUUUCAUAGGGAAAUGCAACAUUUCAUUUUUUCUUUCCAAUAUGGAGCACAUGGAGAAGUCCAUUUUCUUCUCAUGGAGGAGAAACUACGGUUUUUAGCAGUGACCUCACAAGGAAGUACGGAGAUGGGCACAGAAGGCACAUGGGUUGCUGCCAUUCCCAAGCUGCAGUCAACAAGGCCAGGUUCUUUGCACUGUACCACAUGAAGUACCCUCCAGCAUCACUGGAUUUAUGACUGGAGUCAUGCCCCAUGCAAGGAAACCCACCUCUUUGCUCUUUUCUUGGCUGUAAAGUCAGAGCUAUUUCCAAUCAGAAGCAUUUCAUCUGGCCACCAGCCAAGGAUGCUCUCCCAAGCAGUGCUUCAGGGCAGCAGUGUGCUCCCAGGCUGGGGAGAGGAACUCAGCUCACAAGCAAGGUGCUUGCAGGUUACAGAGAUACACGAGCAGGAAUUGGAUUCAAUUUAGCACAAGCCUUGGGAAUGCCCUUCAGAAAGCACUGCAGUGAACAACUCGGCUUUGCAGAAGCGAUGCAGAAAUUUGCCAGGCUGCCUCAGUAACUCAGGUGUGUGUAAUGUUACGUAAACCAAUGUAAUGAGCUGCCAAAUUGCCCAUGGAGAUGGGUAUUGUAGAGUGAGCUGCCAUGGUGGCCUCUCGGCAUCCCCACAGCUCUCAGUGCUGGAGCUGCUGCGGUCUCUGUAAGGCUGAGCUUGGAGAAAUUGGGGAUCAAUAACUGAGUACACUGUAAUUCAGUCCUUGCUAAGAAUUUUCCAAACCUUUUUCCCAUCCCAAAUCUUCCAAAAAGCCACUUCAAAUGCAGCCCCACCAGUGCUGCCAGGCCCAUAACCACAGCAAUGUGUUCAGAACUUUGGGAGCUCAGAAAUGCCCAAUUUCACUUCAGGCACUGCAGUAUCUGAUCAAAUAACUCACUGAGCAACCAGCAAGAAGAAAAGAAGCUUGCUUCAGCGUAACACAUAGCAUGAUUUAAUUGAUAUAAUGAUGCUGAUGCUGUACCAAAGGAACAUCGCUGCCUGAGUUAUGUCACAUAAACUCAUUUUUCCUCUUCUGCAAUUAAAAUGAUCUAUGUCUCUUUUCCAAGCACAAGGAGAUUAAAAUAGGGAUCAAUUAACUUACCAGAAACCAUAAAUCAGCCAGAAGACAAUCUUGUACAGGAGGAAAAGCCCAGGUUUCACCCAUUGGAGAGAGACAUGGGCAGGAUCCACGCUCAACGAUGGAUGGGCCUCAUAGGCAGAGCAGGGGAGAGUGAUCAUUUUCUGCUCAGCUGAGACUGAAUCACUCAGCUCUGGUUAUACUAACACCUAGAAAACCCAAUGGGACUUUGCUACACAAGGAGAACAUAUUACAGUCUAUAACUAACCCCAUCAGUUACAGGCAGCAGCAGCCCUAACACUGCGGGGAAAUUAAGCUGCUCCUCUGUUUAAUGCUUUUUGCCAUGCUCUUUUAUUAGAGACAACAGCUCAGGUCUUCUGGGACCCACUUCACCCAUGGUCAAUGCUUUCAUCUAUUUCUGAUGCUGGGUUUUGUUCCAACAUGUGGGUUUUUCCUCGAGGUUACAUAUAGAUUCCCCAAUCCCCCAGAACCAUGGGAGCACCUUGCAGAAAGCCACUGGGAGAGGGGAAAACCAAAGAAGUCUUCAGCUACCUCCGUUCUGCAUCACUGGAGCCAAACACGAUGUGAAAUCAAACAGUUUGGGUUUGACCUUAUCGUUUCUUUCACUGACUUGAAGCUUUACGUUGCAAUAAAGUACGAGAUUAAUACCCAUUGGCUGGAUUGUGAUAAAAUUUUAGCAUAAUGCUGCACUAUCACACAGAUACGGCAAUAUAACACCCAGAUGGCUGGCAGCUUUUGUCUUUCCUGAGAUGCAGCAUCCCUCUUCCUUUCCCUUAGUUGUGUUGUGGUGCAAGAUGGGCUGAGGACCGGUGGGACAAAGUGGCCUGGGGGCUGCUAGCCCUCCCCACCUUCAGUCCCCAGCAGAAGCAGAGCUGGGAGCACAGCCAGCAGCAAGAGAGGGAAUGCAGCAGUGCUCUCCAAGCAUCCCAGAGAAAGAUUUAUAGGGAAGAUGUACUGCUUACUUCUCACAUGCUGAUACGGCCCCUAUAAAAGCCUGGCUGGCAGGUAUUAGCACAGAGCUUAACGCACAUACAAAGCAGAUGUGUGUCAGUGGGACCCACGGAGCAAUACCCGGUGCUUUUCUACUGGCUCUGCAAAAAACAUGCAGAAGUAUUUGUGGUGGUUUUCUGGCCAAGCUGCAAGGUUACAACAGGCUUGCUUUAAGCUGAGAAAACCGCAGACAAAUUAGGACCAACAAAAGGAAAGACAAGAAUAAAAAGAUUUUUCUGUGCCGUCUUACAGACACAUCUGCCCCAGUCAUGGCUUAGAAAAAUCAGAUUAAACAGUCAGCCCAGGGAGGAGGCAGCUAGGGGCAAAGGGGAGGAGCACUGUCCCUUUAACAUUUCAACAAGCAUCCCAGAGGAGGCAGACACAGUAAAUAUCUCCCUUGUUAGUAAGGAGUACUUAGAGGAAUGCUUUUAUUGCCAGGCGACAUUUUGGACUCCAGCACUACGGGUGACUGCCACUCAACAGCGUUUUUUUCCCCCUUUUUGCACAGCAAAUUUUACCUGGAUUUUCUCCAGCAAGCGACUGGGAGCGGGGCAGGGCAUGCUGUCAGGGGAGCAGUCACACACUGCUGUGCAUUGAGUCCCCAGCUGACAGAAAUUAAUUUAUUUUUCUUGCAACUAAAUAGCUUCUGUGGCUUCACCUCAAUCAAUAGUUACUUCUUGGGUCAGUAGAUCACAAUUACCACUUUGAAGGAAGGUUCGGUUCCUAUUUAUGCUUUCUGCUCUCUCCCUGGGGAGAAGUUCACCCAGGAAGUGAUGAGUUCAUAAGGCCCCAAAAUCUUCCUGAAAUGCCUUGGAAAGACCCUCUCCAUUACUAACAUACAAACCAUGCAAACAUAUCUGUUUUGAUAUUUGAUCAACUAAAAGGAGAGAUUUUGCAAAACAAACUCCAAAGCUGCCCGGUGAAUGCUGGAACUCUCAGAAACUCUCAGAGUCACAGCUCUGCCCCAGGAGCAGCCCCCACAUACUGGAACUGGGGGCUGCUCCCAGUGCUCUGCGUGGAGCAGGUGGUGGAGACUGAACAAAGCAGAGCCCCGUGGAGAAACCUUUGGGCAGCUGGGAGAAGACAGAGAAGGUUUUCUGUAAGGGAAUAGAGGUGGGUUUUCCUGCAGGAAUGACCCAGUUAGAGAGAAAGCAGAUGUGGGAAGACCAACACCAGGAGGGUGCAGGGGUUGUGCUGGCAGGUAUGGUCACAGGAUGCUUCAAAUGUCAAAUGGGCAGUGGGGAAUGGAGAUGGGCAAGAGGAGGGCCUGGAGAACACAGGGGAUGGGGACCAUGGAGUGGUUGGAUGUGUGACAUCACCUGGGGCAGCAGAGAGAGCAUCAGGCUGAAGCAGUGCCCCAUCACCCAAAGGAGAUUGGUAAGGACAUCAUGGAACGUUCAGCCCAGCUGGAAGCCUCACACAGAGGGACUCCAUCCCAUUAAGCUCUCUUUAUCAGCUCAGCCCUUCAGCAAUGCUUGCACAGAGCAGGCGAGCAGCAGAGCCAUUAAUCUUCACAGCCCACUCUUGGGAAGCCGUUCACAGUGAGCGCUGCAAAUCUCUUUAGUGGGUGAUGGGAGCUGCUGGGGGCUGUAGCGCGGGGGACAGUGCGAGGACCCACAUUGCACGGGGCAGCACCACCCAAGCACAGGGAAACACGAGCAUGUUUUCAUAGCAUUUCUUCUGACCACAGAGGAAUGCCUUUGAAACCAAAAGCUCCGGAAAAGGCAGUGCUCAGGAAAUGGCGUGGGCACGAUGUUGUUGAACUUGUGUGUUUGUAACAAUGGAGCCCUGCUGAGCACAGGGAAGGGGAAGGUCUCUGUUCCUGACCUUUCAGAUACCAACCACAACCUGGAGCAAAAGAAAAUGAAGCAGAGAACACUGUGAGAAAUGAUUUUUUAAACCAUGAUUUCCACCCCACAUAAGGAGGAUAUGUAAAUCAGAGAAUACAUCUUCUCACUGUAGCUAUCAACAUGAGCAGCAGGGAAAAAAUUCUAAAAGAGCAGAACAGCUCGUCUCAGAACAGAUAUACGCAGCAGCAGAAAAACAAUAGGAUCUGUAAGGCCAGGUCAGGUCUCCCCUGGCCUCUCUCAGCUGGGGAAAUCCUGGGUGUGGUGCUGCCCAGGGUCAUAGCAGUGUGGCCUGAAGAUAGCAGCAAAGUGAGGGGCCAUGGUUUGCAGAAGGGCUGGGGAAUUCAGGGCUGUGUUUCUGGGAUACAGGACGUGUGCCUGGCUCAGAACCUGUUAUUCCUUCUUAUUCCUUCUCCCCACGCAUUUUCACAAAGCUGCCAGCAUCUGGGAAAUAGAAAUCCAAACGGCUGAUGCUUUGCAGCCCUGGCUCUUUAAAUAGUGUACGAAGAAGAGAGAGGCUUUACAUGAUUACUUAUUUUAUAGGUAUUUAAAGAACAGAAACACUCCCUCCAUACAUUGAGUAUCACCCACCUCUAAAACAAAGUGCCAUGUCUCUGCUGAGAGGCUGCAGGGCUGAACUGAGGGAGACCUAUCCCCAUCCUUUGGUUUUCAGCUUCUCCUGGCUAAAUCUCACAGCUGGAUCUGAUCCUGAUGGGAGGAUUGUGCUGUUGGGACUUGAGUGCUAAAGAUGCCAACAGAAGGGCACCAUCCUCUUCUGGUACUUUGUGCUGAAUCUGCCCCAUUCUUUGGUGUCCUGUCCCUUGGGAAGAUGUGCAGCUCCCUCCAAACAUGUGCAGGAAGGAAUUGUAGAGUCAUAGAAUCAGAGAAUCAUAGAAUCAUUAAGGUUGGAAAAGACCUCUAAGACCAUCUGGUCCAAUUGUUGACCCAUCUUCACCAUGAUCACUAAACCACAUCCCUCAGUGCCACCUCUCCACAUUUCUUGAACUCCUCC